GGGGGGGGAAAACUUUUUUGUGGUUUUGGAUGGACUCGCGGCCUAUCAGCUUGUUGGUGAGGUAAUGGCUUACCAAGGCGACGACGGGUAGCCGGCCUGAGAGGGUGACCGGCCACACUGGGACUGAGACACGGCCCAGACUCCUACGGGAGGCAGCAGUGGGGAAUAUUGCACAAUGGGCGCAAGCCUGAUGCAGCGACGCCGCGUGAGGGAUGACGGCCUUCGGGUUGUAAACCUCUUUCAGUAGGGAAGAAGCGAAAGUGACGGUACCUGCAGAAGAAGCGCCGGCUAACUACGUGCCAGCAGCCGCGGUAAUACGUAGGGCGCAAGCGUUAUCCGGAAUUAUUGGGCGUAAAGAGCUCGUAGGCGGUUUGUCGCGUCUGCCGUGAAAGUCCGGGGCUCAACUCCGGAUCUGCGGUGGGUACGGGCAGACUAGAGUGAUGUAGGGGAGACUGGAAUUCCUGGUGUAGCGGUGAAAUGCGCAGAUAUCAGGAGGAACACCGAUGGCGAAGGCAGGUCUCUGGGCAUUAACUGACGCUGAGGAGCGAAAGCAUGGGGAGCGAACAGGAUUAGAUACCCUGGUAGUCCAUGCCGUAAACGUUGGGCACUAGGUGUGGGGGACAUUCCACGUUUUCCGCGCCGUAGCUAACGCAAUUAAG
rnacentral:rRNA from 1 species